rnacentral:rRNA from 1 species
UACGUAGGGGGCAAGCGUUGUCCGGAAUCAUUGGGCGUAAAGAGCUCGUAGGCGGUUCGGUAAGUCGGGUGUGAAAACUCUGGGCUCAACCCAGAGCCGCCACCUGAUACUGCUGUGACUAGAGUGCGGUAGGGGAGCGGGGAAUUCCUGGUGUAGCGGUGAAAUGCGCAGAUAUCAGGAGGAACACCAGUGGCGAAGGCGCCGCUCUGGGCCGUGACUGACGCUGAGGAGCGAAAGCGUGGGUAGCAAACAGG